AUGGGGGUCCUACUCAAUAUACAUAUUGCAUAAACUGCCUGUAUCUCUUUGACUAAACAUAGAGACGCAUAUUUGAUGUGACUGCCUCUUUUCCAUCAGAUUUUCGGAAACAUGGUUUGUAGUUUCAUGUUUCCUUUCUGGAGGACCUAAAGUGGGGUGGAAGUUUGAUAAAAGUUGACACAAAAGAUGAGAGAAGGUAGGUACAGACACGACAUUCUCGAAUGCUCUAACAGUUGCUGGAAUGCUAGGAUCUAGGUUCUAUCAGACACCCCUGCCUCCCAUCCAUGCCCCCAGAGACUCACGCACGCGCACACACAAACACACAGACACACGUUGUAAGGUUGUUCUAUGAUGAGGCUUUUGCUAUGGCUAAUGACCCCUUGGAAGGCUUCCAUGAAGUGAACCUUGCUUCACCUACUUCUCCAGACCUUCUUGCUGUGUAUGAACCGGGAACUCAAGAGCAGACUACCUCACCUAGUGUCAUCUAUCGGCCACAUCCUUCAGCUUUGUGCUCCACCCCUAUCCAGGCUAAUGCCUUAGAUGUUUCUGACCUUCCUACACAACCUGUGUAUUCCUCCCCCAGACGUUUAAAUUGUGCGGAAAUAUCCAGUGGCAGCAUCCAUGGUGCAGAUCCAGCACCUUGUUCUACCUCUGGAAUCACAGCUGGGUUACUUAAAUUAACUACCAGAAGGGACAACUGUAGUGCAGAGAGGGAGUUUCUACAGGGUGCUACUGUAACGGAGGCCUGUGAUGGCAGUGAUGAUAUUUUUGGGUUGAGUACUGAUAGUCUGUCCCGCUUACGAAGCCCAUCUGUUUUGGAAGUCAGAGAAAAGGGCUAUGAAAGAUUAAAAGAAGAACUUGCAAAAGCUCAGAGGGAACUGAAGUUAAAAGAUGAAGAGUGUGAGAGGCUUUCUAAAGUACGAGAUCAACUUGGACAGGAGUUGGAGGAACUCACAGCUAGUCUAUUUGAGGAAGCUCAUAAGAUGGUGAGAGAAGCAAAUGUCAAGCAGGCAACAGCAGAAAAACAACUAAAAGAAGCACAAGGAAAAAUUGAUGUCCUUCAAGCUGAAGUAGCUGCAUUGAAGACACUUGUAUUGUCCAGUUCUCCAACAUCGCCUACACAGGAGCCUCUGCCAGGUGGAAAGGCACAUUUUAAAAAGGGGCACACAAGAAAUAAAAGUACAAGCAGCGCUAUGAGCGGCAGUCAUCAGGACCUCAGUGUGAUACAGCCAAUUGUGAAAGACUGCAAAGAGGCUGACUUAUCCCUGUAUAAUGAAUUCAGAUCUUGGAAGGAUGAGCCCACAAUGGACAGAACCUGUCCUUUCUUAGACAAAAUCUAUCAGGAAGAUAUCUUUCCUUGUUUAACCUUCUCAAAAAGUGAGUUGGCUUCAGCUGUUCUGGAGGCUGUGGAAAACAACACUUUAAGCAUUGAACCAGUGGGAUUACAACCUGUCCGAUUCGUGAAAGCAUCUGCAGUUGAAUGUGGAGGACCAAAAGUCUGUGCAGCCCAGAGACCAACCCGCAGGCAGUGUGGGGAUUUCAGAUGUAUCGUCAGUGGAGAGCUCUUUAAUUACAGACCUGUACGUGGGAUCCAGGUAGAUCAGGAACCAUUUGUUGUGUGUUUGCUUAAUAUGGAGCCACAUUCAUUUCAUAUGUCUCAAAAUGUGCCCUCACAGGUCAGAGCAAGUCCUGUAAACACAGAAUUAAACUAGGGGACUCAAGCAACUACUAUUAUAUUUCUCCUUUUUGCAGAUACAGGAUCACGUCUGUCUGUAACUUUUUCACAUACAUUCGGUACAUUCAGCAGGGACUUGUGAAACAGCAAGAUGUUGACCAAAUGUUUUGGGAAGUUAUGCAGUUGAGAAAAGAGAUGUCAUUGGCAAAGCUGGGCUAUUUCAAAGAGGAACUCUGAUGUUCUGCCGGGGACCAUCCACGAACCUCUCUGAAGACCUGGAAAAUGGCUGAAUAUUUUUACGGUUACUUGAUAUUUAUUUCCAAGGAGCGGGUCCAAGACUUUUUCCCUCUUUUGCAGAUUAUACUAAGAAGUACUGUGAUUUCUUUUUAAACUGACCUAUGCUGUGUUUGCUUAUUAUUUAGUUGAACACACUAUAAGGAAUUACAGGUGUACUAGUGAUUGUAAUUUAUAGUUGCAAAAAAUAGCUAAAUAAACGUUAAACUGAG